CGGCUCCCUUCUAGGCUGCCGGAGGAUGUAGAGGGCAUCUCGUUGGUAGUGUGGUCGGCCAUGAAUAUGGUUCGUAAAGCACUGGUGGUGGUUGCUUUGCUCGGCGCGGGUGCUGGCGUUGGCUCUACUCUGUUUGCCCUUGUAACCCCAGGAGAACUACAGAAGCAGGCAAUGCUGCAGGAGUUUCCGGAACGGGACCCGCGGCGCAGGGAAGAAGCUGCCCGAACCAAGGAACUAGUGAUGGCUACUCUGAAGAAAGCGGCAGCUACGGAGGAGAACGUGGCCUGGAGGAAGAACUGGACGGAAGCAGUUAGCGACGGCAGCAGGUCAGCGUGACACCAGAGCUUGCCUGCGGGACGUUCGAGGCGCCUUUCUCUGUGCGCGGGCGUGGAGUCCGGAUUCAGGAUAACACGACUCUAGCAGGCACAGAGCGAAAAAUGAAAGUGCGGACGCGCUGCAUAUAUGGAAGUCACAGAACAGUGUUUAACUUCGGUUAAAGUCUCUUUCCAGUCAGUGUUGCCCUGAUUGUGCUGGAACUUGCUCUGCAGACCAGGCUGGCCUCACAGCUUCGCCUGCCUCUGCCUCCUCAGUGCUUGGGUUAAAAGUAUGUACCUCCACUGCCAGGCCUUGUUAAGGCUCUGUAAGAGAAGCUGACUCAGUACUAAAACAUCUGUGUCAGAUCAUUCUCAAGCAUAGCUCAGUGACAUACACCUAUAAUAACCACAGUACCCAGGAGGGUAAGAAGAUAGUAGUUUCAAGACAAACCUGGGAUACUACCUCAAAAGAAAAAGAUUUUGGUUUAACUACAUGAUAUUCUGAACUGAGUGUUUAUCCUCAGCACUUGGGACAGAGGAGCAGGAAGAUCUCUGCCAGGCCAGCUUGGUCUGCUUAAUAAGUCCCAGACCGUCCGGGCUACAGUGUCGUUGAGAAGUGCAGCAGUGCAUGGUGGCUGAGUCUCAGCACCUGGCGGCUUGAGCCAGAAUUCUAACAAGCUCAAAGCCAGCCAUGGCUAUAAAGUGUUUCAGGCUGUCCUGGACUAUAGUUGAGCUCCUGCCACGAAAAUCCCGCUAUUCCCCCCAACAUGCAGCCUCUUGCUAAAUGUAAUGAGGGACGGUUGAAAGGGCUGUGGGUAAAAGCACCUUGAGCUAAGCCUAGGACCUAAAUCUAAUCCCUGGGACCCACAUGGUGAAUGAAGGAAAGUGACUGCUGGUUUCUUUUUUUUUUUUUUAAAUAUUUAUUUGUUAUGUAUACAAUAUUCUGUGUGUAUGUCUGCAGACCAGAAGAGGGCACCAGACCUCAUUACAGAUGGUUGUGAGCCACCAUGUGGUUGCCGGGAAUUGAACUCAGGACCUUUGGAAGAGCAGGCAAUGCUCUUAACCACUGAGCCAUCUCUCCAGCCCCGACUGCUGGUUUCUUAUGACCUCUACAUUUUCUGCCUCCACAGGCAUACAUGUAAAUAUAUGGGUCUAUGCCCCCAAAGUUGUUUAUUAUAUGGUGGCACACAAAACCCAGGGCCAUGGGCUUGUACCUGCAGAGAUGAACCAGGCCACAAAUCCUUUUUUGAUUUGGUACUGAGGAUUGAGCCCUAGCACCUUGGGUAUGCUAGUACCCAUCACUGAGCUCCACCUAGCCCAUAUACAUAUAUAGGUGUGUGUGUGUAAUGUUUAAUCUUUUGGCAUCUUGGGGGGCCCACUACCCAACUCCCAAAUAAAUCACACAGAGGCUUAUUCUUUGUUAUGAAUUCCCUGCCUUACUUAGCUUGUUUCUUUUUUCUUUUUUUUUUUUUGAUUUUUCGAGACAGGGUUUCUCCGUAGCUUUUUUGGUUCCUGUCCUGGAACUAACUUAGCUUGUUUCUUGACAGCAUUUUUAAAGACAGGGUUUCUCUGUGUAGCUUUGGAGCCUGUCCUAGAACUCUCAUAGUAGAUCAGGGCAGCCUUGAAUCCACCUGCCUCGGCUUCCUAACUGCUGGUAUAAAGGUUUGUGGCACUACCACAUUGCAGGAAUUACAAGUUCACUACUUCCCUUUUAAAAGGGCUCUGCCCAUCUCCCAUCCCUGAGAGGCUGGUCUCCCCCCUUCCCUUAAUAAAAACCCCUCCACAGUAACUGAUGCAUGGCGCUUUUCUUAAAUUAUGAUAGUCUUGGGCUGUAGAGAUGGCUCAGAGGUUAAGAGCAUUGCCCGCUCUUCCAAAGGUUCUGAGUUCAGCAACCAUAUGGUGGCUCACAACCAUCUGUAAUGGGGUCUGGUACCCUCUUCUGGCCUGCAGGCAUACACACAGACAGAAUAUUGCAUACAUAAUAAAUAAAUAAAAAUUAUGAUAGUCUUGCUAUGUCAUCCUGGGUUUGCCUGAACUAACCUCAGUUUUCCUUGCUCCCUAAGUGUUGGGAUUAUUAUAGGCAAUGAUGAUUUGGUCUUGGUCUUUUUUAUGUUCAUUGGUGUUUUGUCUGUGAGGACAAAACAGAAACCCUAGACUGGUGUUAUAAACAGGUGUGAGCUGCCAUGUGGGUGCUGGGGAACUGACCCCAAUCCUCUCAAAGAGCAGCUAAGUGCUCUUAACCAGAGUCUUCUCUUAAGAGCAGAACAUAUACCUGCCAUGAAUCACAUGGUGACCAUUGCUGCUUGACAAAAUUCCAGCUUUUCAACUUUAUAGACCACACUUCUCCAGCACCUUUUUACUUUUAUUUUUAAUUAUUCUCACUAUGUAUGCCUUUCCUUUUGGGAAAUUUUGUAUGGGCUUUGGUAAAGGAUUAAAGUGUGUACAAUGGGCAGGGUGGUGAACAAAAAAAAAAUAAAAAUAAACACCCCACAAACCCACUACUUUAUAUAUAGCUAGUGUUUACGGGGCAUGUACUAUGCCAGGCAAUGCUAAAGCAUUAGAUGUUUCACAAUACAGGAAAUAGAUACUAUUAGCCUAUCACUGUUUCACAAUACAGGAAAUAGAUACUAUUAGCCUAUCACACUAAGGGAGUGGCUUCAAGAAGUCAAGGCAUAUGAUAUACAUGAUAGUAAGGCCUUGGGAUGGAGAGAUGGCUCUGAGGUUAAGAGCACUGGCUGCUCUUCCAGAGCUACUGAGUUCAGUUCCCAGCAACCACAUGGUGGCUCACAACCAUCUGUAAUGAUCUGAUGCCCUCU